UACAGAGGUCUCAAGCGUUGUUCGGAUUCAUUGGGCGUAAAGCGUCCGCAGGUGGCUGUGUAAGUCUGCUGUUAAAGAGUGAGGCUCAACCUCAUAAAAGCAGUGGAAACUACACAGCUAGAGUGCGUUCGGGGCAGAGGGAAUUCCUGGUGUAGCGGUGAAAUGCGUAGAGAUCAGGAAGAACACCGGUGGCGAAGGCGCUCUGCUAGGCCGCAACUGACACUGAGGGACGAAAGCUAGGGGAGCGAAUGGG
rnacentral:rRNA from 1 species